rnacentral:rRNA from 1 species
GAUGAACGCUGGCGGCGUGCCUAAUACAUGCAAGUCGAGCGAACAGACGAGGAGCUUGCUCCUCUGACGUUAGCGGCGGACGGGUGAGUAACACGUGGAUAACCUACCUAUAAGACUGGGAUAACUUCGGGAAACCGGAGCUAAUACCGGAUAAUAUAUUGAACCGCAUGGUUCAAUAGUGAAAGACGGUUUUGCUGUCACUUAUAGAUGGAUCCGCGCCGCAUUAGCUAGUUGGUAAGGUAACGGCUUACCAAGGCAACGAUGCGUAGCCGACCUGAGAGGGUGAUCGGCCACACUGGAACUGAGACACGGUCCAGACUCCUACGGGAGGCAGCAGUAGGGAAUCUUCCGCAAUGGGCGAAAGCUUGACGGAGCAACGCCGCGUGAGUGAUGAAGGUCUUCGGAUCGUAAAACUCUGUUAUUAGGGAAGAACAUAUGUGUAAGUAACUAUGCACGUCUUGACGGUACCUAAUCAGAAAGCCACGGCUAACUACGUG